AAAAUCGUACUAUGUUUGGGUUUCCGGUGUGUAUGUGGAUUUUUUUACACGCAUCGUGGAGUCCAUAAGAGUACUUUACACACUUUCCUCCAUUGGAUAUAAAUAGCGCAUGCGCAAUCGGAACUUCCUAUUCGAAGAUGGAAAUAAUUGUUUACAAGACUCAAAACCAAACAUUUUGUUUGCAAAUAGUGACUGAUGUGCCUUAUGAUGUAGAUGUUGGAUAUUGUGCUUUUCCAGAGAAAUGGCCCAAAAUGGAAAGCAUCUGCAGACAAUGACUGAUAUGUUUUUUGAUGCAGAUGUUUAAAAUGAUGCUUUUGAAGGAAAAAUAUCCAAGCUAAAUGAGGUUUCCUGAGAAAAGUGUUUGUCUCACAUGGAAAAGCCAUUGUCUAAGAUUAUACAUAUUAAUCACCAGUGUUCAGACAUGGGUUAACUUCCUAGAUAGACGAUUGAGGACCAAUAGUGUCAACGGAAAAAAAUCUACGCCAUGAAUAUUGCUUUAAUCAAUACUGGUUUAGAAAUGAUAAUGAAACUCUGGUACAUUUUUUAUUGAUCGUGUGGUUUUCAUGUAUUCUCCCAAAAAUGAAGAUAUGAGAGAAUUAAUACACUUUUUACGUGUACAUGUACGUGUAAAUUCAGUAGCAUUGAAAGUUGGGUUAUACAAUGUACAUAUUUUGCUGUUUUAAUGUUCCUAAACGAUCAUAUUGCCUUGUUCAUAUUAAUAUUUAAAUGUUUUAGUAAUACUCAAUAAAAGGUCAGAGUUUAAUGUAAUGUCUUAAUUACUUUCAUAAUC
rnacentral:sRNA from 1 species